rnacentral:rRNA from 1 species
GACGAACGCUGGCGGCGUGCUUAACACAUGCAAGUCGAGCGAGGCCCUUCCUUCGGGGAGGUGUUCUAGCGGCGAACGGGUGAGUAACACGUGGGCAACCUGCCCUCAGCUCUGGGAUAACUCCAAGAAAUUGGGGCUAAUACCGGAUAUGACCGCUGACCGCAUGGUCUGGUGGUGGAAAGAUUUAUCGGCUGGGGAUG